rnacentral:lncRNA from 1 species
GUUUAUUUUAUGUGGAUACUAGAAAAUUUGAAAUUACAUUGUGGCAUUCAAAUGAACUCAAACUAACUGCAUUAACAAGGAUUAAUUACAAAACAUAAUUUUGCAUGGAAAAGCGAGUUAUAAAAUGACAAAUGAAAUAUGAGAUUAUUUAAAGUUUAAAACCUUGCAGAAUAAUACAUUCACAGUAUAAAAACCAUACAUCGGAAUGAUAUUAGGACUUCAGAUAAUUCAUCCUUUUUGUAAACUGACCACCCAGCUCUUUUUUACUUCUUAUUCCUUUUAAUACACCCCUGAAAGAGUGUUCUUCAGAGCUUGGCUUGGGAAAUACUGACUUGGAAACUUAAUCUCUGCUGGUGGAAUUUAAGGGAUGGCUUAACAGGCCAGAGAAGGAGUGGUUGUUUUUUGUUUUAGCUGAGGAAGAUUCACCCUGAGCUAACAUCCAUGCCAGUCUUCUUCUAUUUUUUAAUAUGUGGGCCGCCAGCACCAGUACAGCUGCUAACAGAGCAGUGUAGGUCCAUGCCUGGGAACCGAACCCAGGCCGCUGAAGCAGAGUGUUCUGAACUUAACCACUAGGCCACCAGGGCUGACCAGAGAUUUUUUAAAAAUAGAUGAUCUUUUUGGCUCAAAACUUUUUCUACCUUAUGUGUAAAACCAGAAAGAGGCAAAAGUAAAGCAAAUUUUCCAGCAUGUGCAUGAGGAAAGACCUAAAGAGCUUGGCUAGUUUCUCAGCCCCCUCCCCUCCCUUCAGAGGGAGAGCUGGCACUCGGGUAGAGUCAUGGAAGCCCCUGCAGGUCACAGUGUGGUGGGCAAGUGUAUAGGCUGGUGGGCAAGUUACUUAACCCUUUGGCCUCGAUUUUCUCAUCUGUAUAAUGGGGAUGAUAAUGGUCACAUCUGAAUGGGCUCUUCUGAGGAUUAAAUGAAGUGAUAUUAGUAAGUACAAUACUCAGAAUAGUCCCUGGAAUGUAGGGAGCACUAUGUAAGUGUUUGUUCAAAAAAAUAAACCAAAGCAGAAUCCUGCCAUAUCAAUGCCUAGGCUUUUGUCUUAAUCAGUAGCUCAGACUAGUACCCCAUCCUUCCACUGCCAAGGUCCUGCUUUUGUCCUUAGAUGCCCACAGAAUUCUCACAGGUAUCUGUAGCUACUGCUGAGAACGUCCAGCACAGACUUGGCCUUCGUGUGGGAAGAAACGGGGUUUUUGGUGUCUGACACAGGAUUCUCUUACAUCCUCUCUGAGCCGGCCGCUGGAAUUGGGUCAGCUCUCUAAAUGCCCUUCAGUCUUCCACAGAGCAGGGCGUACUGAGUGUGCGAAGGUUCAGGCUGCCCCGAUGGGAGCCGUACGUCUUGAACUUUCCCUUUGCUCUUCCCAAGUGUCCUCUGACGCUUUCUCUCCUUCAGUUAGUGGGUCAUCACAGAAACGAGGUGGCCAGCUGACGCAUGCGGUCGCGUCAUGAUUGAAACAACAGAGAGCAUCUGAACGUGGCUUCAGAGCUUUGUUUGCUCUUUUGGAUUUUCUCAAGUUACUGAGCAAGGCACAGAACUCAGAGCAACUGAGAAAAUUCUAGCAUUUCUUUUCUUUUCCCCCACAAAACAUGAGGAUUCUAGGUGGAGCGGCUACUUGUCACUCUCCAGUGCGUCUGGCCUUUUGCUCAUGAGUUAACUGCAGUCAGAUCUUAUUAAUUUUUACUUAACUUGAAAUGUUGUAAUUCAUACAGGGCUGGAUUGAUGUUUCUGACCCUUGACAAACCAGAUGUUGGCGAACACCUGUGUGACAGCAAAGAGUCCCAAACUUAGACUCCAAAGUGGGGGGCUCAGCUCUUAGCUACACCAAGAAGUGUCCGCAGUGAGGCCACGGGCUUCUGCU